GGAUGUGAGGGAGAUCUGGCUGCGACAUCUGUCACCCCGUUCAUUGUCAAGGUUGAUUCGGCUGACCUGGCUGGCUAGGCAGGUGUCCCCUUCCUCUCUCAAUGCUCCACGUGUGUCCCUCUUGACGUAGAAGAGGACGACCACCCCCAAUAGAGGAGGACCAUUCCUUGGUCAAGCACAUAUGGGUAGCUGAGCUCCCCUGCUAGAACCUCCAAACAAGCUCACAAGGUCCAUUAUUACAAAAAUAUCUAUUUUCCAAAAAAUACCUGGCAAAGUAUGCUAUAUGCAUAGAAGCUUU
rnacentral:snRNA from 1 species